UUCGUGACGUCAUAAUUGAGUAUGAUUUUUCGUGUGUUGACUUAAAAUAAGAAUGAUAAAUAACUGUUGUCGAGUUCAUUGUCGUAGAAAAUUAUGGCGAAUAAAAAGUAAACCAAUUGUAAAAUUAAUUAAGUGUAGAGAAAAUGAUAAACUCGAAAGGAUGAGUUAUAUAUGCAACUUGGUCAACUUUAAAGUAAGAUUUUUUCUCACUUUGGAGUACGACAUAUGUUACAGUCGACGUGAAUUUAACUGCCUAUAAUUAGAAUUGCUUGUCCUGUGUUGGAUGCCUCAUUACAUGUAAUUGCAGUAAUUGUCAGGCUUCAUACGUCUGUUACCAAUGGCUGUAAUUGUCCAAGACUGCUACAAUUAGCUAUACGUUUGAGAAUGUAGCACGAGGAAUGUCAAUGUACCCAUGAAUUAUUUCCAUAGAUGAAAGCCUAUACGGCAUAAAUGAAACUUAAACGUGAAAGAGGAUAGAAAUAAUAAUUGAUAUAUAUAUAUACUUUCGUGACCGAUUUCUUUAUUAAUUUUUUUUUUAAUCCAUUAAUCGUGACUUUAAAACAAUGAAGUUUAUUAAUAUAAACUGUAUUUAAUUUAUUAAAAAGGUAUAUUUAUAGUACUAAACUCUACUCAAAAGCUGAAAUGUGCACUCCUUUGCCCUCUUGCAAAUUCUUCAUCCGGAGAGUUGUUAAGGCUGCUAACCUCUGCCACUUCACACUAAAAGGGUGGUAUUUGUUUACUUUUAUUUAUCCUCUAAUCAGAAUCGCUUCCUACUCACCUAUCUCGAGGUCACUUGUUGGAUUAUGAG